ensembl:snRNA RNU6-107P RNA, U6 small nuclear 107, pseudogene
GUGCUUGCUUCGGCAGCACAUACACUAAAAUUGGAACGAUACAGAGAUUAGCAUGGCCCCUGUGCAAGGAGAAUGAAUCUUCGUAAUGUUCAGCAAAAGAAG